CGCUGGCGGCAGGCCUAACACAUGCAAGUCGGACGGUAGCACAGAGGAGCUUGCUCCUUGGGUGACGAGUGGCGGACGGGUGAGUAAUGUCUGGGGAUCUGCCCGAUAGAGGGGGAUAACCACUGGAAACGGUGGCUAAUACCGCAUAACGUCGCAAGACCAAAGAGGGGGACCUUCGGGCCUCUCACUAUCGGAUGAACCCAGAUGGGAUUAGCUAGUAGGCGGGGUAAUGGCCCACCUAGGCGACGAUCCCUAGCUGGUCUGAGAGGAUGACCAGCCACACUGGAACUGAGACACGGUCCAGACUCCUACGGGAGGCAGCAGUGGGGAAUAUUGCACAAUGGGCGCAAGCCUGAUGCAGCCAUGCCGCGUGUAUGAAGAAGGCCUUCGGGUUGUAAAGUACUUUCAGCGGGGAGGAAGGCGAUGGGGUUAAUAACCCUGUCGAUUGACGUUACCCGCAGAAGAAGCACCGGCU
rnacentral:rRNA from 1 species